UAGUUACUCUGGGCAUACUGGUAUGUGCUGGGGUGUACCUUUGGGUGACCCACGGGUCAUCCGUAGAUACUAUGGUACUAUAGUUACUCCGGGCAUACUGGUGCGUGCUGGGGUGUACCUUUGGGUGACCCAUGGGUCAUCCCUAGAUACUAUGGCACUAUAGUUACUCUGGGCAUACUGGUACGUGCUGGGGUGUACCUUUGGGUGCCCCACAGGUCAUCCCUAGAUACUAUGGUACUAUAGUUACUCCGGUGUACCUUUGGGUGACCCACGGGUCAUCCCUAGAUACUAUGGGACUAUAGUUAAUCCGGGCAUACUAGUACCUGCUGGGGUGUACCUUUGGGUGACCCAUGGGUGAGUCUGGGAUUGGUGUGUGUGCUGGGAUGGACCUUUGUAUAAUUAUACUUAUGAACACCUAUAUAUCGUGAUGGCAUUGUUGGACAUGGUUGCUGGAUUUGUCACACUGCCGUCUGAAAGAACCCUAUACGCGACUACACAAACUAUUUUAAAACUCAAACUGGAUAUCAGGUGGAAGUUAAUCGUCCAGUCGCCACUCUGCCUAAAAGUAAAACGUUUUGUGCUCUUAUCAAAAAUCAAGGAGAGUCUAGUAUAUACGACAAGUAUACAGGUGAAAUUGUUGGAUUUCACCACCGUCAACCAACCCCCAAUAAAGCGACUAAGAAAACUGAGAAUCGCAAAUUCUUAAGUUCAUUAGGUGUGAAGAGUGUGGGAACCCAAACAGAGUUAAAUGUACGCAGACACAAACAGAACCAUCGGGAGCAAAGAGUGUAAAAAUUAAUAAAAUUGUGCAAACACAGACAGAGCCCAAACCACCACAGGCUUGUACCCUAUAGUCCCCUAGAGGACAAGUGACACUACUCCUAUGGAAAGGUGGCAUCAUACUGUCUCAGGCUUGCAAGAUUAUGUAGCAGCUCAAGCUAUCAACGCUCACCAUUUAAGUUGUGAAUGUAUCAAAACAAAAAGGAGGAACUGACUGUGGACUCCACGCAAUUGCAAUGGCCAUGGACCUGUGCAGUAAUGUGGACCCAUUUUCUGUGAACUAUGUAAACGACAUGAGAAAGCACUUACACUGCUGCUUCGAAGAAGGUUUGUUCUCCAAGUUUCAAAUUGAGCCUAGUGGCAGAAAGUAUUGAGUGCUAAAAACGUUGUCUGUCAACCUUUAUUGCAUGUGUCGGCAGCCCGAACGUGGACCAAUGGCCUGCUGUAAUACCUGGUAUCACCCUGGCUGCAUCUACAUACCAUACCUCAGGAGGUUGUUGAAGAUAAAGAUGAUCUCAUUCCCUGCAUGAGCUGCCCUUCUUGUGUUUUCAGCAGAAAGACGAAGAACCCAGUAUUGAACAUAAAUGGACUGGAUGAUAUCGACACUAUUUUUGUCCCCAGCUCAUUCAGCAGGGCCAUAGAUCAGGGAAAAGGUGUGUAUCUAUAUAUAUUAUCUCAUUUACGACACUCGUCCG